UUACUGCUCCUUUGUUCUCUGCUUUUUUGAUUUGAACAUCGAAGGAUCCUCGUCGGAGCCACAACCUUCGAUUUGGGACUUGUUUUGUAAGUCUUUCCAGUGCUAGCAUCCCUGCAUUAGGACUAGGCAUCUGAUUUUUGACUUCAAACAUUCGUCUUCCGACCUGAACCGAUUUGAGCAGCAACAGAUAGAGGAAGGGCCUACAUUCGCAUUCAUGGCUUCAAGACGGACAUCUUCCAGCUUUCCAAUGCCGCCACUUCCCGACAGGUGGCCAGCCAAGCUGAUAAUCAAGUUCAAUCACUAGCAUCGGAAGUCUCUCCAUCGGCUCAAUUGGUCCUCCCGGCACCUAUCACGGCUGACCAAUUUGGUUAGCUCUCUCAGAA
rnacentral:lncRNA from 1 species